ensembl:lncRNA
CUUAACCUAGACUCAGGUUCAAGUCAGAAAGUCAAGGCAGAAUCGUCUGAGUCAGAGCCUGUUGUUAAAGCUCUAAAAAGUGUGUUCAAAUUCCUGGCUGGAGAUCUAAGAAGAGAGGAAGGAGCACAUUCAGAACUGGGGGUCACAGCAGAAACUUUAAGCCAAAAGGAGCCCUAGUGUGCGGAAUGGCACUUGCAGGAAGCAGCUGUGCUGUUCUCUGACCUGGAGCUUGGAGGCCUGGCUAUUGUAAACCCACAGAAGAAAACUCAGAACUUACGCAGAAUUAUUGAUUGUUUUCUCCACCCAGAAGAAAUCGUUUUUCCUGGAAAGUCAGCCAUAUGGUGCCACAGAGGUGGAAGUAAGCCCUGAGUGGAACUACAAAGACCAGAAAGUGAAUCAUUGUUGGAAGAGUCUUGACAUUCUUACCAAACAAGAAGAAAAGAAGAAGCCUGAUAGAACUUAAUUUUUUCCUGUUGGUUAGAAUAUUACAACAGAGAUAGCACCACACCCCUCUAAGGAAUGCUCCACUUCUGACCGACUCCUUUCACAUCGGCAACUGUUGCCACGGUUCUUGUCUGAGACCCCAGAGAGCUGUUCUGAAUUGUCUCUUGGAUUCAUCCGGGCACCCUUCCCUUACUGUUGGCUUCUAGUAGUCAUGGAAAUUACAAGUUGUCCUGUUUAGUGUGGCAGCUGGUAAGCAAAUAGCACCCUCCGUUUUAUGUCAUAGUUCUUGGUAUUUGGGAAUUACCAAAUUUGAAAAUUCAAUAGCAUCAUUCUCUGCAUUGUCUUCACACAAACCACUGGGGAAAGGUCCAGGAAGCCACUGACACCACAUUAGACACCUCUGAGCGAUUUGGUACAAAAGCAGCUGGAGUCUUGCUAUCUCAGCUGCUGCCUAUAGUAAAAGAGUAAUUAGAAUUUCUUCCUUAGAGAACAAAAAUUUCAGUUAAGUAUACAUUUCUUUUAAGUAUGUAUGGAAAAUAGGCUAAUAGAAAAUUAUGCCAGAGGAGUAAAACGUGUUAUGCCAAGUAUUAAUUAUAUAUGUAUUAACUAGUACAUAAGAUAAUUCUAAGUUUAGAAAGGAGAUCAAGGUUAAUUUUAUUACCAAGUGCCCUUGGCCCUACUCAUUUAAUAGUAGAAGAUACAUAAUCUAUCAAAGUAAAAAAAAAAUGGUUAAAGCACUUUAAAAUCACUUUAACAAGGUCAGAAAUGAAGUUUUCAGAUAUUCUUUCCAGGAUAAGUACAAUGUCAUGAAUUUAAUAGCAACUAAAAAUAAAUUUAGACUUUUGACACUUUUUUUUUCUGAGGGAACACAGAACCUUGAAAAUACCUUGGGGGAAAUUGCUAACCUCUCUGGAAAUUAAUGAGUUCUUACAUUAUCCCUAAAGGGUUAUGGGAUAUUUUCUAAUUCUGCAUUGCAGAUGGGAAACCAAAGAGUUUGGCCAUGGGUUCUAUUUUCAGGGGCAGACUGAAAAGGACUCUUACAAUGCUCUUCUCUUUUCAGUUUGUCCAUCAUUUGGUCUUGUCUUUUUUCUAAGACAGAGUGGGCAGAUAAUAUUUGUUCUUUGUUUAGGAGUCUUAUUUCAAAGAGAUCUCUUAUUUCACUGAAAUUCCUGGGCAUACUCUCUGGAAUAU